rnacentral:rRNA from 1 species
UACGUAGGGUGCAAGCGUUGUCCGGAAUUAUUGGGCGUAAAGAGCUCGUAGGCGGUUCGGUAAGUCGGGUGUGAAAACUCUGGGCUCAACCCAGAGCCGCCACCCGAUACUGCUGUGACUCGAGUGCGGUAGGGGAGCGGGGAAUUCCUGGUGUAGCGGUGAAAUGCGCAGAUAUCAGGAGGAACACCAGUGGCGAAGGCGCCGCUCUGGGCCGUGACUGACGCUGAGGAGCGAAAGCGUGGGUAGCAAACAGG